GCUUAUGGCGGCUUUGCGUGGGGCGCCUUCGGGCGCGCCGGUUUUGGUGUGUUUCCCGGUCUGCUAACCCGCGACAAAGCCGCCACCCUC
rnacentral:antisense_RNA from 1 species